CGGGCUAGAGGAAUAAAAGUGUUAAUGAGGAAGCAAAUAGAGUUUAAAACUUCAAUUCUUACAGACACGGAAAAAAAGCAAGAACAGCCACAAUUUUUCAGGCCGGAUUAGGACGCCUUUCUUUUGCCAAGUUAAUAUUGUUUGCAUGCCUCCUUGAAGGAGGGCUAGGUCCUUCCACACUCCGCCGGUGCCCCUUUAAACAAACACCUCGUAACACUAUAGCUAUAAAUAGCACCGAGGUGGAAAUGGCUGGAUGUGUUUCUAUGCCCUCCUUUGUAUUCACAUUUUUCAAACAUACAAACCCUCUCCCCUUUUCUCCCCUCUCCUCCACAAUGUGUGGUUAUAUAUAGAAUAUUUAUAAUAGUCCUAUUUCUAAGCAAUUUUCACCACUGACACGCAGCAGGAAGAAAUUGAGAAAUUGCUGGUUGUUUAUUUACUUAUUUCUCAGUCGAAAUAUGCACUUAAUCCUGCACAAAGUGGAAAUACACACUCUAUAUAUGGUAUUCCUUCCUGUUUUGAGAUCCUCCAGAGGGCACGGAUGCCGUCAAGUUAUUGGUACUAAUGAACUGAGAGGAUUUCUUGCGGUUCCUUUGAGGACAUUUGGACACUGCUCAAGCACACCUGAAGAGUCAGAACCUGGUGAGGUCACUGUACACGGCUGCCAGCCCCGGAAUAUUGGCACAAAGAAAUUGGCACCGUUGUGAUAGAAAAUGGACAGGGAUUCAAUUGACUCGUGCAGUGGGAGGGAGUGUGAUCAAUGCCACGUGUAAUUUACUUUCAGAGAAAGAUGCAUAAAGGAUGCAGUAUAGUGAUCCUAUAAAAAUGGAUUAUUUAACUGUUGUUUUUUAAAUAGAAGAACACUUAUGCACCAGUUAACAGUAUUUUAACAUGAGUCUAAUUCAUGUUCCUUUUGUAUUUUUGAUCCUGUGUAUUAUUCAGCAGUACAACCAUUGGACAUUUUGUGGCUGAAAUGUCACAUACACGUGGACAUGUCUCCAGAAGUUCUCUCUGUAAUGCUGCGUCUAUUUGCAAUUUGUGAUGUCCCAGCCCCAUUUUUUAGAGAUGCUGUGGAUUUAAAGUGAUGUUUAAAGUAAGCAAGAUACUUCAGCUUCUACAGUCCACGGGUGAUGCGUAUGUUUGGCUGUGGUGAUGUUCUAAGGAUGAAAUAAAGGAAAUGUCAUUAAACA
rnacentral:lncRNA from 1 species